UACAGGGGUCUCAAGCGUUGUUCGGAAUCACUGGGCGUAGAGGGUGUGUAGGCUGCGUGUUAAGUCAGAUGUGAAAUCCCGGGGCUCAACCUCGGAACUGCAUCCGAUACUGGCAUGCUAGAGAAUUGGAGAGGAGUCUAGAAUUCACGGUGUAGCAGUGAAAUGCGUAGAUAUCGUGAGGAAUACCAAGUGCGAAGGCAGGACUCUGGACAUUUUCUGACACUGAGACACGAAGGCUAGGGGAGCAAACGGG
rnacentral:rRNA from 1 species